UUUUUUUUAGUUGGCGAAGGA
ensembl:piRNA 21ur-5692 ncRNA